rnacentral:rRNA from 1 species
AUUUUUUUAUUAUUAAUAUUUAUUUUAUUUUUAUUUAAAUAAAAUAUUAUUAUUUAAAGUAUUUUAAAAAUUAUUUUGAAUUAUUAAAACAAAUUGUACAAAAAUGGAUUUAUAGAUAAAUUAAUAAAAUAAAAAAUUAUUUUUGUACCUUUUGUAUCAGGGUUUAAUAAAAAAAUUUUAAAUAAAUUAUUCUCGGACAUUUAUGAUUUAAUUUUUUAUAAUUUUAAUUGUUGAAAAACUUAACUUAAUAAAAAAUUGGUAAUGAAAAGUUAGUCGUAUAAUUGGGAUUCUAGUUUUUAAAUAAAUUAAUUUAAUUAAGCUUUAAAUAUUUAUUAUAAUUUUAUUAUAAAAAUAUAUUUAUAUGUAAUUUAUAAAGAGUUUAUUUUUUAUAAUUUUUAUAUUGAAAUAUAUUUAUUAAAAAUUAUUGUAAAGUUAAUAAUUAUUAAUAAAUUUAAUUGGGGCGAUUAUGUAAAACAAUAAACUUAAAAAUUUUAAACCAUAAAUAAUUGAAUAUUUUGAUCUAAAAUUUUUAAUUGAUAGAUUAAAUUACCUUAGGGAUAACAGCGUAAUUUUAUUUAAGAGUUCAUAUCUAUAAUAAAGUUUGCGACCUCGAUGUUGAAUUAAGAAAAAUAUAUGAGUAGAAAUUUAUAAUUUUUAGUCUGUUCGACUAUUAAAUUCUUACAUGAUUUGAGUUCAGACCGGCGUGAGCCAGGUCAGUUUCUAUCUUUAAAUUAUUUUUAUAGAUAAGUACGAAAGGACAAUUUAUGAAUAAAAAUUAUUAAUUAAUU